rnacentral:rRNA from 1 species
GAUGAACGCUGGCGGCGUGCCUAAUACAUGCAAGUCGAGCGAACGGACGAGAAGCUUGCUUCUCUGAUGUUAGCGGCGGACGGGUGAGUAACACGUGGAUAACCUACCUAUAAGACUGGGAUAACUUCGGGAAACCGGAGCUAAUACCGGAUAAUAUUUUGAACCGCAUGGUUCAAUAGUGAAAGACGGUUUUGCUGUCACUUAUAGAUGGAUCCGCGCUGCAUUAGCUAGUUGGUAAGGUAACGGCUUACCAAGGCAACGAUGCCUAGCCGACCUGAGAGGGUUAUCGGCCACACUGGAACUGAGACACGGUCCAGACUCCUACGGGAGGCAGCAGUAGGGAAUCUUCCGCAAUGGGCGAAAGCCUGACGGAGCAACGCCGCGUGAGUGAUGAAGGUCUUCGGAUCGUAAAACUCUGUUAUUAGGGAAGAACAAAUGUGUAAGUAACUGUGCACAUCUUGACGGUACCUAAUCAGAAAGCCACGGCUAACUACGUG